rnacentral:lncRNA from 1 species
AAUACUUACACUUAAAUCAUAUAAAUCUUUUCAGCUUUCGUUAUAUGAUAAAUUUAAUUUUUAAGCUAAAUGAUAAGUAUCAUUUGAACAAAUAACACAGAAAGCAAUAAUUUUAUUUUUCGGAUUGAAGAUGGCCUGUAUGAUGAGGUAUCUUUGGGUAACCUAAGAAACCACAAAAUUUUGAUAAACGUGACCACAAGAGCUUACGACGACAUUCAUGAUUGGAAAAUAUAAUGAUUUUCCAAUAGUUUGCACAUAAAUAUAGCCGUGUGUUAUCCGUUAACUUAAACUCGUUAACUUGACGUCUUUU